rnacentral:rRNA from 1 species
UACGGGAGGCAGCAGUGGGGAAUUUUGCACAAUGGGGGAAACCCUGAUGCAGCGACGCCGCGUGAUUUAGAAGGCCUUCGGGUUGUAAAAAUCUUUUUUAUGGGAUGAAAAUGACAGUACCAUAAGAAUAAGGUCCGGCUAAAUACGUGCCAGCAGCCGCGGUAAUACGUAUGGACCGAGCGUUGUCCGGAAUCAUUGGGCGUAAAGGGUACGUAGGCGGCCUAGUAAGUUAGAAGUGAAAUAAUAUAGCUCAACUAUAUAAAGCUUUUAAAACUGUUAGGCUUGAGAGAUGAAAGGGAAAGUGGAAUUCCUAGUGUAGCGGUGAAAUGCGCAGAUAUUAGGAAGAAUACCGGUGGCGAAGGCGACUUUCUGGUCAUCAUCUGACGCUGAGGUACGAAAGCGUGGGUAGCAAACAGGAUUAGAUACCCUGGUAGUCCACGCUGUAAACGAUGAGUGUUAGGUUCUUGGAAUAAUCUGGGAGCCGCAGCGUAACGCAUUAAACACUCCGCCUGGGGAGUACGCACGC